CCUACGGGAGGCAGCAGUGAGGAAUAUUGGUCAAUGGGCGGAAGCCUGAACCAGCCAAGUAGCGUGCGGGAUGAAGGCCCUACGGGUCGUAAACCGCUUUUGCACGGGGAUAAUACGCUCCACUUGUGGAGGUCUGCAGGUACCGUGCGAAUAAGGGCCGGCUAAUUCCGUGCCAGCAGCCGCGGUAAUACGGAAGGCCCGAGCGUUAUCCGGAUUCAUUGGGCUUAAAGGGAGCGUAGGCGGACGUUUAAGUCAGUGGUAAAAUCGCGCGGCUCAACCGCGCUCCGCAAUUGAUACUGGACAGCUUGAGUACAGAAGAGGCAGGCGGAAUACGUGAUGUAGCGGUGAAAUGCAUAGAUAUCACGAGGAACACCGAUUGCGAAGGCAGCCUGCCGGAGUGCGACUGACGCUGAGGCACGAGAGUGCGGGUAGCAAACAGGAUUAGAUACCCUGGUAGUC
rnacentral:rRNA from 1 species